rnacentral:rRNA from 1 species
AACGAACGCUGGCGGCAUGCCUAACACAUGCAAGUCGAACGAGACCUUCGGGUCUAGUGGCGCACGGGUGCGUAACGCGUGGGAACCUGCCCUUAGGUUCGGAAUAACUCCCCGAAAGGGGUGCUAAUACCGGAUAAUGUCUUCGGACCAAAGAUUUAUCGCCUUUGGAUGGGCCCGCGUUGGAUUAGCUAGUUGGUAGGGUAAAAGCCUACCAAGGCGACGAUCCAUAGCUGGUCUGAGAGGAUGAUCAGCCACACUGGGACUGAGACACGGCCCAGACGAGUAAGGGCGGCAGCAGUGGGGAAUAUGGGAGAAGGGGCGAAAGCGGGAGGCAGCCAGAGCGCGUGGGGGAAGAAGGCUUUAGGGUUGUAAAGCACGUGAGUUGGGAAAGAAAAGCAGGAGAAUAAUACCCCGAUGUUCCGGCGGUACCCAAAGAAUAAGCAACGGCUAACGGAGUG